UACGGAAGGUGCAAGCGUUAUCCGGAAUCACUGGGUUUAAAGGGUGCGUAGGCGGCCCCGUCAGUCAGAGGUGAAAUCCUACGGCUUAACCGUAGCAUUGCCUUUGAUACUGCGAGGCUUGAAUCAGGCUGAGGUCAGCGGAAUGUGACAUGUAGCGGUGAAAUGCAUAGAUAUGUCAUAGAACACCAAUUGCGAAGGCAGCUGACUAGACCUGGAUUGACGCUGAGGCACGAAAGCGUGGGGAGCGAACAGGAUUAGAAACCCGAGUAGUCC
rnacentral:rRNA from 1 species